GAAAUUAGCAAAACCCAAACCCAAAAAUAGCCACACCUGGUCCCCCCUUUUAUCACACCAAACGACCCCAUUUUUGUGCUGCUUUAUAACAGCUAUUGGAUCUUGGUAAUCCAAUGGCUCGAAACAAAGAACUCCUAAGUAUUUAACUAUCUGAAGUACUCCUACCCCCCCUCUAAUCCCGAAACCCUCGUUCGUCUCUAACGCCCAACCCUAGCCACCAGCUUACCCUCGCCGUCUCCGCCGUGGUUUGCCAGCCGAAAAUUGCAUCACGGUGGUGGAACACCUCCAAUCCACUCAAAAUUAGGACCCACAACCCUUGUCAUAUCCUCUUUCCACAUCUUUAACCCAUUUCCUUCGGAUCCCUCUCAAACUCCUCGAAUUUUAAAUCUGAAGUUCCAAUCCAAAAAAAUCAAAACCUCUCUAAAUUAAUUUAAAACUUCACCAGUUUAUCUCAUAACUACACUCACCCCUAAUACUCUACUGGUUUUUCCAAAAGAUCCCGCAAAAUCAGGCAAUUUUGGAUCAAAAUUGUGAAAAAGAAACAAAAAUUAAAGCCUUUACUGAGUUGAUUUUGGAAGUUCAAAUGGUUCAGACCUACACGGGUCAUCUUCUCUUAACUAGAGCAAUUGAUUCAUGUGAGUUUGAUUUAUUUUUGUUCAAAUUUCCAAACCAAUCCGAGCUCCGGCAGCAUUCCUUUUUUCCAACUUAUUUCUUACAUUUGGAAUAAGUAAUGUCUUGCUAUUUUUUUUCCUUUUGUUGGCCAUCAAUUUUCUCUUCUUAUUUGAUUGGUUUGUCGUGCAGUCGUUCUGAUUGUAAUUGCAUGUUUUAGGCCAUUUUUAUUUUAUUCAGAAUUAUUGCUUCCUUCUGCAUUUAGUCAUUGAAACUAGUCGGUAUUGUUAGUGUUGAUUUGUGUACAUUUUUCAAUUAAUAGUUGGUCAGUGUAUGUCUAAAUUUGUUAAGCUUGUGUUCAAUUGAUCCCAAUUAAACUCAUUAUGUUAAUUUUUUGUAGAGGACACUGUCAAUUUGUUCUAUAGCUUCAAAUUUUAGAAAAUAGUUUAUUAAUUGGUAAAUUUUGGUUUCAUGUUGGGUUCAAAUAUUUCUAUUUGGUUUCAUUUCUAGUUCCAGUUCAACUCUAAAAGAAUUUAAGUCUAAUCAAAGGCUUAAUUUAAUUAGGGUUUGAUUCCAUUUGAUCCUCUUUGCUUUUAUGUCGAGUUUUUGUAUUGAUUGCCUUAAUUUACAAAACAAUAGGAACUUAGGGGCCUAAUCGAAUUAUCACAACAUAGGGCAAAGGGGAAAUAGGCAGUAAUUAGAAUAGUAAAAAUGGAUUGUCACGUAGGAUAAUUUUAGAAUGUUCUAGUGUUUUAGGCAGUAGUCCCUUUCAGCAAAAAUAUAGGUAAUGGAUAAGUAAAAAGGACAAACAAUUGUAAAAUGUGUUAUACUAUCUAGAAAAGUUAAGAAUAUUAGGUUUAAUAUAUGCUUUUUGAUGCCUUUUUGUGCAUUUUAUAAAAGAAAACAUUCCCCUCAUUUAGAGGAAUAGAUUUCAACAUAAUUUUUACAGCAAAAAAAUUCUCUCUCCUUUAUGAAAAAGACAAGAAUUAAGUAAUUCUAGAAAAUUUCAGAACUUCUAGCCUUUGGUUUUCACAAUCUAAAAUGGUUUGAAAUAGAGGAUUUUCUUGGGUUCUCUAUCUGGGAUUCUAGUUUGAAAGCUGAUUAGAUUUGAUUCAAAUUUUGGGACCUAUUUGAUUUUUUGGGGCUGUGUUGGUUUACUGUUAUUGUUUCCUUUCUUCUCAAGUUCUCAGCAGUUUUUUUCAUCUUACUUGUUGUUUUUCUAUUGUUGUUCAAGGCAUACAUGUUCUUCAAUGUUUAAGUGUUUGUAAAUGGAGUUUUAAGAUAAAGGCAAGCUAUUCUUUCCUAUCGAUGUAAUAUAUCUUAAUUUUCUUGACAUGAUUUGUCAGUGAAGUUGUAAAAAUAUUGAAUAUCAUCUGUUAAAUAAGUUAUUGUUUGUCUAAUUGGUCUAUAUCAUGAAAAUAUUUUUCCUUGUAUGAGUCUAGCAUUGCUCAACUGUUUGCUCCAGUUAGUAUACACUUUUUGCAUUAGUCAUGUAGCAUGUUAGAUCCCUAUAUUUGAAGCUUUGUUUAUUCAUUAAGUCUAACCCUUACAUUCUCAGAUUCGUGGAUUAAGCUACCCGUCCUCCCGUUUAGUUCAUUCUGGCAGCAUAUCAGGUCUUAGGGUUUGAAGCCCUUGUUGGUUCAUGAGUUUAACCCUUAAUAUGGUCAAACCUAUGAAUCACACUUUUUUUGUUUCUUUUGUCUUUGCAUUGUUUGUUUGAGUUUGAUUUGAUAAUGCUGUAGGUUUAUAAUAUGAAGACAUUUUUGUGAAUCUAGCCCUUAACCAUGGUCAGAUUCAUGAGAAGUCAGAGUGAAAACCAACGCUGGUGUAUUAGUAGGAAGCCUUAGAGUUGGAGCUAAGUUUUAGUCUGUAAGCACAACUCCUUAGCUGAUUUUUCUUGCAAAACUAAAGCUGAUUCAAAGUAUUUUGGAAGAUUUUGAGUUAGGAAGAAUAUCCCCGCCCUUUUACCUUAAUUAUUCAAUUUUUAUUUAGACACAUUGCUAUAUUUAAUAGUGCUUUGUAAGUGUAUGGACUUUUGUUAAGUAAAUAGAUGGUAGGAAUUCUUUUUUUUAAUUCAAAACUUUCUAUUGUUGAUUCUCGUUUUAUAACCAUACCAUGUGAUUGUUGUUUUGUAAUAAAAACAGCCCACGAAAGAAAAUUGGGGUAGACUUGUAACAAGGCCUAAAUUUGAGAACCACCUAAGCAAGUCUGGGCCCAUGCGAAUUGGUCUAGGCAUUAAACUCAGUAAUUUGAUCUUUAGUUGUAAAAUUUCUCCUUUAAAUUCCAACAUAAGUGUAUGUCUUGCAAAUCAUUGUUAAUCUGCUUAAUUUUACACUAAAAUUAUAUUGUUCUAAUUAUGAUUUUAUUCUUUAAAAAAUGAUGCGAAUUUUAGCUUUGCAAAGCAUGGAUGGUAUAAUGUUGUGUUGAAAUAUGGAGGUAGAUAGGCCCAGCAUUGGAUAUUCACAGCUGGGCCCGCCAGAACACCAAUAUGGGAGAAACUUGAUUUAAAUUCCAGUAAAAGAAAACAUAUUUUUUAGUUCUCUCUGUUGAACUGAACUUCGAGUCUAAAACGCAGUUAUAUUUUUUAAUAGGUCUAAAUCCCUUCCCAAAAGAAUUAAUCUAAAUUUAGUUGCUCUAAUCAAGUGUAAUUGUCCUCUAAAAAGGAUAAUAAGUUGAGGUUCGCCAUACCAAUCAAAACCUAUAAUUCGUGGCUUUUAUAAAAUUAGAUCAAGAGCUAACACUUAUAGAAAAGGUUUGAGACGUGCCAUCUAUAAAUUAAAUCAUCCAUGUCCCUCAUAUAUAUUGUAAUUAAAAAUGAAGCUUUGUAGUUUCUUUAGGCGCAUUACUUCAAAUUAUCGUGGUUGCGGGUACGGUUCUCGUGACAUAGUUAUGAUUUGUAAUUGCUAAAAUUCGGGUGUACAUUUCAUGUGACUCCACUUCUAUUUCCAACAAUGUUAAAUUAAAUGUGUCGCAAACCACGGGUGCAUUUCUUGUAGCGUGGUUUAAGGCGUAUUUCAAAAAGCAUUAAAUUUUUCUAAAAACAGCAAAAAUGGUUUAAAACUUGUAAAAAUGCAAAUAGGUUUAAAACAUGUAGUUAAUCAGAUACUAGGACAAAUAUUAGCAGUUUAAGCGACAGUGCUAGAAUUACGGAGCCCGUCAAUGUCUAACACAUUCUCCCGAGUUAACUGAAUUCCUUGUGUAAAAUUUCUGGUUUCGCACACUUUAAAAUAAAUUCGAAGUUUCCUGGAUUUGGGAUUUUAAAAUAAACGGAUGACUUAGAACACCAAAUAAACUACUCCAAGUGGAGACUCUAAUAAAUAAAACAAAUAAUCAUAUUUCGAAUAAUGUCACUUCAAUUGGAAAAACUCCCAUAUAUUCCCCGUCGAGUGGGUAAAAAGGAGGUCUGACACCACCUAAUGGAUUAUACUGUGUUAAGGAACCUAGAACAAUCAACUUAUAUAACCGGUUUACGUCACCAGAGAUCGGGCAAGGGCUCAAAGUUACCUCGAGGCAGAGGUGUUAUGUACCCCUCGAGGUCUAAAACGAUAGGUCCCCGGCCGAAUGUAAAUUAAGCGAAUUAGUCUUAUGGGGAAAUAAACAAUUUAGACAAAUAGUCAUAUUUGAAUUAUGAAUUAAAGGAGUGCUACGUUUUUUAGCUUGUAGGAUCCUUUCGAUGCGAUACUUGGUAACCUUCCUAAUAAUUGGGUGCUACACAUAGCAUUAGCGCACAUGUAAUCAUUUUCAUUACUACCUAAUUACUAUUUUUCAGGUUUUGCCUAAGUUUCGAGUAGGUUCUAAUGAGGCACAAGGUUUAAUUUUGGUGUAAUAAGAAGCUCAUCAAGCAGAAACAACAGCAACAACAGUGAAAUUAAAGUUUUUGGAUAGUUCCAACUACGAAAACAUCCAGAACAAUACUGACCUGAUUCCUUUAUAGUAAAGGAUAUGUAGGUACAUCUGUAGCAAGGUUCGGUCACUGUUUCAGAAGAUACUUCUCAUGGAUUUUCAAAUGGGGAAAAAUCCCUCGUAAUUUCUUAUUUUAUCUUUACCCAAAAAUCCUUAGUGUUUCUGAGCAAAGAGGGGAAUCUGUGAGCAUGUGACUUUUUCCAUAUAUAAAUUAUUCCUAUGAAAUACAAAAAAAAAAAUUCCAAUUAUUUUGCCAUUCUACAUGAAUUUUUGUAGUAUUUUUACUAAAUGUUUGCAUUUUUAUGCAUGUUUAAUUAAAAUCAUGAAAAUACCAAAAGUAUUAGGUUAUGUUUUUACAUUUUUAGAAUUAAUUAGUUAAUUAUGUGUUUUAUUAAAAAUGAAAAUAAAAAAUGGCCAGCUUACCCUCGCCGUCUCCGCCAUAGUCGAACGGCCAUAAAUCGUCGUACGGUGGCAGAUAACCUCCAAUCCACUCCAAUUUAACACGCCAGAACCCUUGUAAUGUCCUCUUUCCAAUCUCUAACCUAUUCCCUUCUGAUCCCUCUCAAACUCCUCGAAUUUCAAUUCUAAUGUUCCAAACCCCAAAAAACCAUAAUCUCUCCAAAUUAACCCAAAACAUCACAAGUUUAUCUCCUCACUACUCUCACUCCUAAUACUCUACUGGUUUGCCCAAAAGGUCCCCCAAAAUCAUGCAAUUUCGGAUCAAAAAUAUGAAAAAAAACUAAAACCUCUAUUGGGUUGAUUCUAGAAGUUCAAAUGGCCUAAAAUAAUAACCAGAGAAAUUGAUUCAUGUGGGUUUGAUUUUUUUUUUUUCAAAUUUCACUAACCAGCCCAUGCUUCAGUAAGAUUCCUUUGUUCCAACUUGUUUCUUACAUUUAGUAUAAGUAAUGUCUUGCUAGUUUUAUUUCCUUUUCUUGGCCAUCUUUUUUCUUCUUAUUCCAUCGAUUUGUCGUGCGGUCAAUUACUAUAAUUGUAUGUUUCGGAUAUUUUUAUUUUAUAAUAAAUUAUUAUUUCCUUCUGCAUUUAGUCAUUGAAACUAGUCAGUAGCUUUAGGUUUGAUUUGUGUAUAUUUUUCAAUUACUAGUUGGUCAAUGUUUGUCUAAAUUGGUUUAGCUUGUGUUCAAUAUUCCAUUUAAAACCAUUAUGCUUAUUUCUUGUAGAGGACACUGUCAAUAAGUUCCAUAGGUUCAAAUUUCAGAAUAUGGUUCAUUAAUUUGUUAAUUUUGGGUUCAUGUUGGGUUAAAGUAUUUCUAAAAGUUCAACUCUAAAAGAUUUUAAGUCUAAUCAAAGGCUUAAUUGAAUUACAGUUUGAUUCUAUUUGAUCCUCUUUGCUUUUAAGUCAAGUUUUUGUGUUGAUUUCCGUAGUUUACAAGAUAAUACGAACUUAAGGGCCUAAUUGAAUUAUCACAACAUGGGGCAAGAGGGAAAUAUGCAAUAAAUAAAAGGGUAAAAAUGGACUGUCACAUAGAAUAAUAUUAGAAUUGUUGUAGUGUUUUAGGCAGUUGUCCUAAUUUUAGCAAAAAUGCUGGUAAUGGAUAAGUAAACAGGGCAGACAGUUGUAAAAUAUGUCGUACUAUCUAAAAGAGUUCAUAAUUUUAGGUUAGAAUAUGCUCUUUGGAUGCCUUUUUGUGUAUUCUAUAAAAGGAAACAUUCCCCUCAUUCAUAGGAACAGAUUUCAACAUCAUUUUUACUGCAAAAUAAUUCUCUAUUGUUAAUGAAAAGGACUAUAUAUAAGAAAUUCUAGAAAAUUUUAAAACUUCUUCCCUAUGGUUUUCACAAGCUAAAAAUGGCAUGAAAUAGAGGAAUUUCUUAGGUCUUAAGCUGGGAUUGGAAGCAGUCUGAUUAUUUCCACUUGAGUCGACUUAAGUCUUUCUCUCCUCGUACAGUCUUGGCUCUAGUAAAGAGAAAGAAUCUCUAGUUUGAAAGCUGAUUGGAUUUGGUUCAAAUUAUGGGACCUAUUUGAUUUGCUAAGUUUGUGUUGGUUUACUGAUGUUGUUUCCUUUAUUCUCAAGUUUUCAGUAGUAUUUUUUUCAACUUACUUGCUGUUUUUCUAUUGCUAUUGAAGGCACACAUGUUCUUCUGUCUUUAGGAGUUUUUAAAUGAAGUUUAACGAUAAAUAUAAGUCGUUCUUUCCUGCCAAUGUUAUAUGUCUUUAUUUUCUUGCUAUGAUUUGUUAUUAAAGUUGUAACAAUAUUGAAGAUCUCGUGUUAAAUGAGUGAUUCUUUGUCUAUUUGGUCAAUAUCAUGAAAAUUUGUUCCUUGUAUGGGUCUACCAUUGGUCAACUAUUUACUCUUGUUAGUAUAUACUUCUCUUUUGUUACAUUCGUCAUCUAGCAUGUUAGAUCCCUAUAUUUGAAUCUUUGUUAAUUCUUUGAGUCUAACCCUUACGUGGUGAGAUUCAUGUAUUAAGCUACCCCUCCUCCCGUUUAGUUCAUUCUUGCAGCAUAUCAGGUCUUAGGGUUUGAAGCCCUUGUUGGU
rnacentral:lncRNA from 1 species